UGGGGAAUAUUGGACAAUGGGCGCAAGCCUGAUCCAGCCAUGCCGCGUGAGUGAUGAAGGCCCUAGGGUUGUAAAGCUCUUUCACCGGUGAAGAUAAUGACGGUAACCGGAGAAGAAGCCCCGGCUAACUUCGUGCCAGCAGCCGCGGUAAUACGAAGGGGGCUAGCGUUGUUCGGAUUUACUGGGCGUAAAGCGCACGUAGGCGGACUAUUAAGUCAGGGGUGAAAUCCCGGGGCUCAACCCCGGAACUGCCUUUGAUACUGGUAGUCUUGAGUUCGAGGGAGGUGGGUGAAAUUCCGGGUGUAGAGGUGAAGUUCGUAGAUAUUCGGAGGAACACCAGUGGCGAAGGCGGCUCACUGGCUCUAUACUGCCGCUGAGGUGCGAAGGCGUGGGGAGCAAACAGG
rnacentral:rRNA from 1 species